rnacentral:rRNA from 1 species
CGCGUAUCCAACCUUCCCAUGACCACGGGAUAACCCGUUGAAAGACGGCCUAAUACCGUAUGACGUCGUUUGCCGACAUCGAAAAGACGACCAAAGGUUUGGCGGUGAUGGAUGGGGAUGCGUCUGAUUAGCUUGUUGGCGGGUAACGGCCCACCAAGGCGACGAUCAGUAGGGGUUCUGAGAGGAAGGUCCCCCACAUUGGAACUGAGACACGGUCCAAACUCCUACGGGAGGCAGCAGUGAGGAAUAUUGGUCAAUGGGCGAGAGCCUGAACCAGCCAAGUAGCGUGCAGGAUGACGGCCCUAUGGGUUGUAAACUGCUUUACGCGGGGAUAAAGUGCGUGACGUGUCUCGCAUUGCAGGUACCGCGUGAAUAAGGACCGGCUAAUUCCGUGCCAGCAGCCGCGGUAAAU